rnacentral:rRNA from 1 species
AUUGAACGCUGGCGGCAGGCCUAACACAUGCAAGUCGAGCGGAUGAAGGGAGCUUGCUCCUGGAUUCAGCGGCGGACGGGUGAGUAAUGCCUAGGAAUCUGCCUGGUAGUGGGGGAUAACGUCCGGAAACGGGCGCUAGUACCGCAUACGUCCUGAGGGAGAAAGUGGGGGAUCUUCGGACCUCACGCUAUCAGAUGAGCCUAGGUCGGAUUAGCUAGUUGGUGGGGUAAAGGCCUACCAAGGCGACGAUUCGUAACUGGUCUGAGAGGAUGAUCAGUCACACUGGAACUGAGACACGGUCCAGACUCCUACGGGAGGCAGCAGUGGGGAAUAUUGGACAAUGGGCGAAAGCCUGAUCCAGCCAUGCCGCGUGUGUGAAGAAGGUCUUCGGAUUGUAAAGCACUUUAAGUUGGGAGGAAGGGCAGUAAGUUAAUACCUUGCUGUUUUGACGUUACCAACAGAAUAAGCACCGGCUAACUUCGUG